UUUUGGGGUAUGACAAACCACACAACCAAAUUUUCCCGGCAUUCCAACUUUACCAAAGUCAACAGCAUUGCCACCUUUGCCUUCAAUUUCAACAUUACCUCAAGCAAGUCUUCCUCCAUUACCUCCAUCUCUUCCUAAACUCACUAUGCCACCACUUCCUACCUUUCCUACAAAUAUUCCAACUCUCAACAUUCCACCAUUGCCAGCAAUCACUUCACUUCCCAACAUUCCCACCUCAAUCCCGACCACUUUCCCCUCCAUCCCAUUUCUCACCCCACCACCUUCUUCAACCUCUAGCCCUUAAACACUUUUUUACGAGUUGCAUAAUGUAAUCAGCUAAAUGUUUGCAAUAUGGACAUUAUUG
rnacentral:lncRNA from 1 species